UCUCUUCUCACUUUGUUCUUUCUCUAAUAUCUUCCACUGAGAAGAAGAUAUGAGAUGAAAAAAAAAAUUGUUUUUUUUGUUUCUGAUCUUUAGAUCAAAUUAGCUUUCGGCUUGUCCGAUAAAUCUUCCGGUUAGCGGAUUUUGAUUCGGCAUAGUCCGUUUUGCUGUGCUUUUAGCUCUUCACCUUCUGUUCUUAAUCAUUCUCAUUCCAUUUGAUCUAGAGGGUUGAUUUUUUUUAUUGGUUGGAAAAGCUCGGCUCUUAAUUCUGAGUAGGAAUCAAUCUUCAAGUUAAGAGAUGGUUAAGAUUUGAGAGUUAGAAAAAGCUUUCGAGAUGCGGUACAGAAAUUAGAAGAGUUGGAGCUACCAUAUGGUUAGCGUUAACUCUUAUGAUCGGAGAAGAAAACCUUGUUGAUCAGUGGCGACUGAAAGAAAGAGGAGCAGCCAGCAGUUUCAAGCGAAUCGGUCGCGGAGAUCAAUGGUCCGGCAAGCUCUCCGGCUACGCUUUCUCACCUCGAUUUUCAAAGUAUCAAAGACAACGGGUGUGCACGUGUCAUAAUUAUGGGCUUGAGUCUGCUUGUAAUAUUAGCCUUUGGAAUUUUAUACAAAAGAAUUGACAACAAAACUGUAAACUAAAAUAUAACCAUAUAUAUAAAAAUAUUACAUCAAACUUUAUAAUAUGAUUCAAAUAAGAAUUCGAGAUUAAUA
rnacentral:lncRNA from 1 species